GCCCAGCUAGUUCAAUCGGUAGAGCAUGAGACUCUUAAUCUCAGGCUCAUGGGUUGGAUCCCCACGUUGAGCA
rnacentral:tRNA from 1 species